CUCACUGGCCACAAGUCAUCUGCCCCCAAGGACUGCUGACAGCCUUUCCAGAGGAGCCUGGAGAACACACAGACUGCUGUAAGAGAACCACCAGUAUGUGAUUUUGGAAAGAAAAGAGCUGCUGGCUUCUGGACACUGAUUCUGAUGGGAGGAAAAACAUGGGUGAUAUUUAUAUAUAGAAAAGGGCUUGUGUCAGAUAAAUAUAAUUCCUUUCUGUGCUUCCCCAGAAAAAGCAAUUGAAGUUACACACACCCCAUUCAUUGACCCUGGCAGUGUAAAUGUAUUGUGGAGGAUCAAUGGGAUCGGGGGAUUUUGCGGAAUGAGACUUUGAAUAAUGUCUUAGCUGGAGGAACAAAGAACAUCAUUCUUCAUACCCCAAGACAUUUAUUUUCUGAAUCACACAGCUCUGCCAUACACAUACCUCAGAGUACUGCUGUACGAGAGAGAAUGGGGAAGCAAUGUGAGCCCUACCUACUCAUUUCAAUGAAAAUAAAGAUGAGUAUGGAUAGAAGAGGGGUUUAGUUUUUCAAAACACACAUUGAGAGACAGAGUACUGUUAUCCCAAAUUCUGCUGGUUACCUUUUAAAACUGCCAACCUUUACACAGAAUGAUGCAUUUUGUAUCUCCCAGAUACUCAUGUUCCUGUGUAUCCCCAUAAAUUUAACUUCCUGUUUGAGCAAUGAAGCAGUGCCUCACGAAAAGCUACGUUAUACUUACAGGAUCGUUGACAACUUUAGAGAAGAAGGGAGGGUGAUCAACUAAGCAGAAUAACACAAGUUCUCCUAACACCAGGCUACCAUAAAGGUAAGUUGUAAUGUGGUGGAAAUGGUCUUCCAGGAAACCCUAAGAAACAAAAUACUUUUGAGAAUGAGGCAAGAACCUUCACAUGAAAUCAACUAAGAAAGAUAACUUCUAUUCUACUAGUCAUAAGCUCUGAGAUUUGGAUUGAAGCAUGAGAUGCAUUUAUUUAAACUGUUAGUUAUGUAGAACUACUUAAAUAGAUAAUUCCUAAAAGUGAAAUAUCAGAAAAU